UACGGAGGGGGCAAGCGUUGAUCGGAAUUACUGGGCGUAAAGCGCACGCAGGCGGUGUGUCAAGUCGGAUGUGAAAUCCCCGGGCUCAACCUGGGAGCUGCAUCCGAAACUGGCAGGCUAGAGUGUGGUAGAGGGGGGUAGAAUUCCAGGUGUCGCGGUGAAAUGCGUAGAGAUCUGCAGGAAUACCGGUGGCGAAGGCGGCCCCCCGGACAAAGACUGACGCUGAGGUGCGAAAGCGUGGGGAGCAAACAGG
rnacentral:misc_RNA from 1 species